GUGCUUGCUUUGGCAGCACAUAUACUAAAAUGGGAAUGAUACAGGAAAGAUUAGCAUGGCUCCUGCUCAAGGAUAACUUGCAAAUUUACAAAGCAUUUCAUAAUUUU
rnacentral:snRNA from 1 species